GAUGAACGCUGGCGGCGUGCCUAAUACAUGCAAGUCGAGCGAACAGACGAGGAGCUUGCUCCUCUGACGUUAGCGGCGGACGGGUGAGUAACACGUGGAUAACCUACCUCUAAGACUGGGAUAACUUCGGGAAACCGGAGCUACUACCGGAUAAUAUAUUGACCCGCAUGGUUCCCUAGUGAAAGACGGUUUUGCUGUCACUUAUAGAUGGAUCCGCGCCGCAUUAGCUAGUUGGUAAGGUAACGGCUUACCAAGGCAACGAUGCGUAGCCGACCUGAGAGGGUGAUCGGCCACACUGGAACUGAGACACGGUCCAGACUCCUACGGGAGGCAGCAGUAGGGAAUCUUCCGCAAUGGGCGAAAGCCUGACGGAGCAACGCCGCGUGAGUGAUGAAGGUCUUCGGAUCGUAAAACUCUGUUAUUAGGGAAGAACAAAUGUGUAAGUAACUAUGCACGUCUUGACGGUACCUAAUCAGAAAGCCACGGCUAACUACGUG
rnacentral:rRNA from 1 species